CCUACGGGGGGCUGCAGUGGGGAAUAUUGGACAAUGGGCGCAAGCCUGAUCCAGCCAUGCCGCGUGAGUGACGAAGGUCUUCGGAUUGUAAAGCUCUUUUGGCGGGGACGAUAAUGACGGUACCCGCAGAAUAAGCCCCGGCUAACUUCGUGCCAGCAGCCGCGGUAAUACGAAGGGGGCUAGCGUUGUUCGGAAUUACUGGGCGUAAAGCGCACGUAGGCGGAUUGCUAAGUCAGGGGUGAAAUCCCGGGGCUCAACCUCGGAACUGCCUUUGAUACUGACAGUCUUGAGUCCGGAAGAGGUGAGUGGAAUUCCUAGUGUAGAGGUGAAAUUCGUAGAUAUUAGGAAGAACACCAGUGGCGAAGGCGGCUCACUGGUCCGGUACUGACGCUGAGGUGCGAAAGCGUGGGGAGCAAACAGGAUUAGAUACCCCUGUAGUC
rnacentral:rRNA from 1 species